GGCCCCGUAGCUCAGCCUGGAUAGAGCAUCAGACUUCUAAUCUGAGGGUCGCAGGUUCAAAUCCUGUCGGGGCCG
rnacentral:tRNA from 1 species